GAUGAACGCUGACAGAAUGCCUAACACAUGCAAGUCAACUUGAAUUUGGGUUUUUAACUUAGGUUUGGGUGGCGGACGGGUGAGUAACGCGUAAAGAACUUGCCUCACAGCUAGGGACAACAUUUGGAAACGAAUGCUAAUACCUAAUAUUAUGAUAAUAGGGCAUCCUAUAAUUAUGAAAGCUAUCAGCGCUGUGAGAGAGCUUUGCGUCCCAUUAGCUAGUUGGAGAGGUAACGGCUCACCAAGGCGAUGAUGGGUAGCCGGCCUGAGAGGGUGAUCGGCCACAAGGGGACUGAGACACGGCCCUUACUCCUACGGGAGGCAGCAGUGGGGAAUAUUGGACAAUGGACCAAGAGUCUGAUCCAGCAAUUCUGUGUGCACGAUGAAGUUUUUCGGAAUGUAAAGUGCUUUCAGUUGGGAAGAAAGAAAUGACGGUACCAACAGAAGAAGUGACGGCUAAAUACGUG
rnacentral:rRNA from 1 species